GGCCUCGUAGCUCAGGUGGCUAGAGUGUCGGCUGUACUAAGGCAUUACCUUUGCUGGCGUGGGUUCAAACCCCACCGAGGCCA
rnacentral:tRNA from 1 species